rnacentral:rRNA from 1 species
GAUGAACGCUGGCGGCGUGCCUAAUACAUGCAAGUCGAGCGAACAGAUGAGAAGCUUGCUUCUCUGAUGUUAGCGGCGGACGGGUGAGUAACACGUGGUAACCUACCUAUAAGACUGGGAUAACUCCGGGAAACCGGGGCUAAUACCGGAUAAUAUUUUGAACCGCAUGGUUCAAUAGUGAAAGACGGUUUCGGCUGUCACUUAUAGAUUGACCCGCGCCGUAUUAGCUAGUUGGUAAGGUAACGGCUGACCAAGGCGACGAUACGUAGCCGACCUGAGGAGGUGAGCGGCGACACUGGAACUGAGACACGGUCCAGACUCCUACGGGAGGCAGCAAUAGGGAAUCUUACGCAAUGGGCGAAAGCCUGACGGAGCAACGCCGCGUGAGUGAUGAAGGUCUUCGGAUCGUAAAACUCUGUUGUUAGGGAAAAACAAAUUUGUUAGUAACUGAACAAGUCUUGGCGGUACCUAACCAGAAAGCCACGGCUAACUACGUGCCAGCCGCCGCGGUAA